rnacentral:rRNA from 1 species
CGGGAAUAUUGGGCAAUGGGCGAAAGCCUGACCCAGCGACGCCGCGUGAGGGAAGAAGGCCUUCGGGUCGUAAACCUCUGUCAUCGGGGACGAAGGAAGUGACGGUACCCGAGGAGGAAGCCCCUGCUAACUACGUGCCAGCAGCCGCGGUAAUACGUAGGGGGCGAGCGUUGUCCGGAGUUAUUGGGCGUAAAGGGCGUGUAGGCGGCCUGUUAAGUCAGGUGUGAAAUUUCAGGGCUUAACCCUGAACCUGCGCUUGAAACUGGCAGGCUAGAGGACAGGAGAGGGAAGUGGAAUUCCCGGUGUAGCGGUGGAAUGCGUAGAUAUCGGGAGGAACACCAGUGGCGAAGGCGGCUUCCUGGACUGUACCUGACGCUGAGGCGCGAAAGCUAGGGGAGCAAAC